UGUUCAUUGGUUAAACAAAAAUAAGGUUUUAAGCAAAAACUGGAGUUUGCUUUUAUAGGUUCAGAUGGAUGCUCUGAGUGUGGUGUUUGUGGUACAUAGUGCAGUACUUGUGUGGUGUACUAAUUGGCUGCAUUUCUUGUCAGAAUGGCUGCUGUAGAAAAGACCUCAAGUGAGGGGGUACAUCGUAGACUACAUCUGCUGGAAUCAUUUCCAGCAGGAUGCCCUCAAUCCCGCAGCUUCAGAUUUCCCACACAGGCAGUGGGACCGAGCUUACGACCGACUGAUGUUGAAUUGAAACAAAGCUCUUCCACCUGGGCUUUUUCCUCACUUGGUCACGUCCUAACAUCAAAGAUGCUGUGUUUAAUGCAACACUGUUAUUUCCACAUGUUUAUUUUCCAUUUAUGUUCACCUAAUGUGAUAAUUGCUUUGGCUACAUUCCAACAAGUUUAUAGCAGCAACUUGUAAAAGCCUGAUUUGUUUUAGAACAUCUGUUCCCUUGUAAAUGUGUCUCAAUGAUGUCCCUCACGCAGGAAAAAUAAAUUGAUCUACUAAUUUUC